rnacentral:misc_RNA from 1 species
GAAAUGCGAUACGUAAUGCGAAUUGCAGAUCCAGUGAAUCAUCGAGUCUUUGAACGCAUAUUGCGCCCCCCGGAGUGCCGCAGCGCCGCUCAGGUAGGGUCCCCCUCGCCCACCCGCUCUCCCCUCCGCGCAAGCGCGAGGCGUCGGCGGGGGGAGGCGUCGGCAGCCCGUAAAACCCUGGCGUUGGGGCAUGCGGGGGCCAUUCUUCCGCAGCCCUCAAAUCCAGCGGCGGCCGCCCAGCGCGGGAGUCUCCAGGCGUAGUACCCACACCGGCUCGCCUCGGAAGCCCCGCCACGCGGCGGCCGGCCCCCCCCUCUUCGUCGUCGCCCCAAUCCUCGCGAAAGCCGCGGGAGGAGGGAAAAGACGCAACACACCCGGUUGGCCUCGGGUCGGACAAGGC